UGAAAGGUGAGUUCACUGUUACUACUGUUCAUCAAGGGAUGGAGAAGACGUUUUCGUCCCUGCUUUUCUAUUAUAUUUCAAAAGUGACUGCUGUCUGAGAUGAUGUCAUCUGGGCAUAUUGGUCUUUUUACAGGAAUUGACGUUUUUGCCCUUGGGUUGCUAUUAUAAUUUCAGGUUCUCCAUCAACCUGCAUGUACCGCAUGCUUCUGGAGGUUUCUUCUUUCUUCUACAGCCAAAAAAAAUUGACCUGCGCCGGUUCUUCUUUCUUCUUUAGUCACAUAACCAGAUUGAGAGAGUGGAUUGUUGCUCCUGCAAAUCAUUCCUUGCUUUUGAUCUGCGAAUUUCUAUUUGGUUCCUGCAGUCCCCUUUUUUUCCCUUUUCUCGCUCUCCUCACUGUGAGCUCUUUAGCUGAUUUACGACUUGGGCUCUGCUAUUGCAGUAAGUAUCAAAACCAGGGACUCAGAAACAUAGAGAGAGAUGGGUUGAGACAGGUUUGCUUCCCAGAAGGAGAGUACAGUACAGUUUUUUUUUUUUUGAUCAGUGACAUCGAAAUGAUCAGUGGGUUAUUAGAUUUGUGUUCAAUUUGGACCCAAGUCUUCUUAUUGAUCCCAGCUGCGUUUUGAGUUUUGUUGGCUUUGUUUGGUUUUGGUUUUUGAGUUGUGUCAGUGUUGGAAUUCUCGGUUUUGGGUGUGAUAAAGAAAAACCGUUUCUAAGGGUUUUGAUGAUUUCUGGGUUUUUUUUGUUCGUUGGGUCAAAAAGGUGAGAACUUUAGUGGUGUUCUGAGAUUUACUUUUACUAUUGGUAAGCCCUUUUUGAGCUGAGUUAUUGACUUAUUUCUGAGAACAAAGUUCUUUGCUUUCUGCUGUUUCUCCAUUGUUUUUUAUGCUAAGAAAGUAGACAGAGCAAUCUAUUCUUUGUCAAUUAUAGAAUCAUUGGAGUAAAGUAGGAUUGACCUUUUUUCAGGGAUCAACUGAGAAGGAGGGGAUAGAUUUUAUCACAUUAUGGAGUUCAUUAGACACACUUGACCUGAUUGUUUUGCGUUUUGAUUGGGUCCAGUUUGUGACGAGAAUAUUGGGUUGAAAACAAGUAGAACAGGUAGAGGUUCUGGGCAAUUGGUUGGGCUGAUUGGGAAAAGGUGAAGUUUUCUAAGGUUGAAUUGCUCCCAAAAGGCUUGGAAAUCCGGUUUCAAUUGCUCGCAAUAAGAUUGGAAAUCUGGUUUCUUUCACAGAAGACUCGAAAGUUGCAUAUACUCAAGAACUUGGGAAAACCAGUUUUUUAAACUUCUUGACGCAGAAGUUUGACAGUUUAAGGAUUCUGCUCCAAGUACCUUCUGCAGCCUUGCCUUUCUGUCAAAAGCUGAAAUCAAUUGGGAAGCACGAACAAACAAGUGGUCACUCUGUAUCCUCUACAUCAAAGUUGGAAUAUAGAGUGUGUUUUACAAAAGAUUAAUGGAAGAGCUGGAGUCAUUUGAUUGGUAAUAUAUGAAAUUAACAGGGGAAGAAGGUAGAUAAGAUAACUCGGAGAAAAGGAAGAGGGGACGGAAAGCUGUCAUGGUUUCGUUUUGAUUGCGCACAACAAUCGUGACAGGCAAUUAACCAAAAAAAAAAAAAAGUGACAGGCAAGGUAAACAUGGAACAGCAACAUCAUCACCAUCAGGAACUAAAGCACAGCCUCGCAAGCAGAAAAAUGACUAAACAUAAAUUACUAUUGUUGUACAGCUAUAACUGGAAGAACCAAUGCCUUGAACCAGCUCCAACAACAACUCCAGCAUUUUGCGCAGCUUUUGCUAACCAACUCCAACAUUUUGAGCUGCUGAAACUGAAGCAAUCAACUGGAGCAAUCACUUUUUUGAACAAACUCCAGAAGGAGCUUUUUCCAAGUCUUAUAACUAAACCAGCUACCUCUUUCAAUAUACUGCAUGCAGCUGCUACUUUUACUAUGUUAAUAGCUCCAACUAAAGCACCCAGCUUUUUUGUACAGAUAACGCUUAUGUAAAAUGUAUGAUAACUCUUUCACUAUUUCAAUAAUAUGUAAUUAUUUCCCUUUUGUA